rnacentral:rRNA from 1 species
CGCCUCUUGCACAACAUAGUAUAAGAGGUCCCGCCUGCCCUGUGACCACAAGUUUAACGGCCGCGGUAUUUUGACCGUGCAAAGGUAGCGCAAUCACUUGUCUUUUAAAUGAAGACCUGUAUGAAUGGCACAACGAGGGCUUAACUGUCUCCUUCCCUUAGUCAAUGAAACUGAUCUGCCCGUGCAGAAGCGGACAUGAAGACAUAAGACGAGAAGACCCUAUGGAGCUUUUAGACGCACAAGAGGACCGAGUUAAGAACCUACUUCACCAGAACAAACUAAACGGAGCCCGCUUGAAUGUCUUUGGUUGGGGCGACCGCGGGGAAACACACAACCCCCACGUAAGAGAAGACAACACCUUUAUAACCAAGAACAGCAGUUCAAAGUAUCAAAACAUUUGACCUUAAGAUCCGGCAAAGCCGAUCAACGAACCAAGUUACCCUAGGGAUAACAGCGCAAUCCCCUUUUAGAGUCCAUAUCAACAAGGGGGUUUACGACCUCGAUGUUGGAUCAGGACAUCCUAAUGGUGCAGCCGCUAUUAAGGGUUCGUUU